GGGCAGUGAGCUGCAGCUUGAUGGCGCUGGAAUUGAUCUUGGUGGCCACCAGCAACUCCUUCAUGCCCUUCAUCUUCUCGCUCUGGAAGGAAACCUGUUCACAUGAGCUCAAGUCAUCGCCCCCAGGGCCCUGUGGUCUCUGCCUCUGCCCUUGAGCACGCUUCUGCACUGGUAUGUUGUAAAUUAAAAGGCACCAGCCUCUGGACUGUGA